rnacentral:rRNA from 1 species
CCUGGCUCAGGAUGAACGCUGGCGGCAGGCUUAAUACAUGCAAGUCGAACGGUAAGGACCGAGUGCAGCAAUGCAUGAGGUACACGAGUGGCGCACGGGUGCGUAACGCGUAUGCAACCUGCCCCCGACCCCGGGACGAAAAACAAGCUGGAAACGGGACUGCUAAUAAUCCCACUGGUCGAUCCGGGAGGGGCGAUCCUCCUCGGAUGUAAAGAAUUCAUUGGUCGGGGAGUGGCAUGCGUAUUAUUAGGUAGUUGGCGGGGUAACGGCCCACCAAGCCGACGAUGAUUAGGGGUCCUGAGAGGGUUAACCCCCCACACUGGAACUGAGACACGGUCCAGACUCCUACGGGAGGCAGCAGUAGGGAAUAUUGGGCAAUGGAGGCAACUCUGACCCAGCCAUGCCGCGUGAAGGAAGACGGCCCUAUGGGUUGUAAACUUCUUUUGCCGCAGAGUAAACCCGGUCACGUGUGGCCGGCUGAGAGUAUGCGGCGAAUAAGUAUCGGCUAACUCCGUGCCAGCCGCGGC